rnacentral:rRNA from 1 species
UGCAGUCGAACGAUGAACUGGAGCUUGCUCCAGGGAUUAGUGGCGAACGGGUGAGUAACACGUGAGUAACCUGCCCUUGACUCUGGGAUAAGCGCUGGAAACGGCGUCUAAUACCGGAUACGAGCUUCAGCCGCAUGGCUAGGAGUUGGAAAGAAUUUCGGUCAAGGAUGGACUCGCGGCCUAUCAGCUAGUUGGUGAGGUAAUGGCUCACCAAGGCGACGACGGGUAGCCGGCCUGAGAGGGUGACCGGCCACACUGGGACUGAGACACGGCCCAGACUCCUACGGGAGGCAGCAGUGGGGAAUAUUGCACAAUGGGCGCAAGCCUGAUGCAGCAACGCCGCGUGAGGGAUGACGGCCUUCGGGUUGUAAACCUCUUUUAGUAGGGAAGAAGCGAAAGUGACGGUACCUGCAGAAAAAGCACCGGCUAACUACGUGCCAGCAGCCGCGGUAAUACGUAGGGUGCAAGCGUUGUCCGGAAUUAUUGGGCGUAAAGAGCUCGUAGGCGGUUUGUCGCGUCUGCUGUGAAAUCUGGGGGCUCAACCCCCAGCCUGCAGUGGGUACGGGCAGACUAGAGUGCGGUAGGGGAGAUUGGAAUUCCUGGUGUAGCGGUGGAAUGCGCAGAUAUCAGGAGGAACACCGAUGGCGAAGGCAGAUCUCUGGGCCGUAACUGACGCUGAGGAGCGAAAGCAUGGGGAGCGAACAGGAUUAGAUACCCUGGUAGUCCAUGCCGUAAACGUUGGGAACUAGAUGUGGGGGCCAUUCCACGGUCUCCGUGUCGCAGCUAACGCAUUAAGUUCCCCGCCUGGGGAGUACGGCCGCAAGGCUAAAACUCAAAGGAAUUGACGGGGGCCCGCACAAGCGGCGGAGCAUGCGGAUUAAUUCGAUGCAACGCGAAG